rnacentral:rRNA from 1 species
AUUGAACGCUGGCGGCACGCCUAACACAUGCAAGUCGAGCGGCAGCGAGACUAGUAGCAAUACUAGUUGUCGGCGAGCGGCGGACGGGUGAGUAACACGUAGGAAUCUGCCCUUAAGCGGGGGAUAACCACGGGAAACUUUGGCUAAUACCGCAUAAUCUCGAGAGAGCAAAGCUGCCCGCAAGGGUGGCACUUGAGGAGGAGCCUGCGUCCGAUUAGCUAGUUGGUGGGGUAAUGGCCUACCAAGGCGAUGAUCGGGAACUAGUCUGAGAGGACGACCAGUCACACUGGGACUGAGACACGGCCCAGACUCCUACGGGAGGCAGCAGUGGGGAAUAUUGGACAAUGGGGGCAACCCUGAUCCAGCGAUGCCGCGUGAGUGAAGAAGGCCUUCGGGUCGUAAAGCUCUUUAGGUUGGGAAGAAGGGUAUUGGCUGAAUAAUCCAGUACUUUGACGGUACCGACAGAAUAAGCACCGGCAAACUCUGUGCCAGCCGCCGCAGUAAGAC